CAGCUCUCAGCUAAGGUGUCUGAAGGCACCACCACCCUUCCAUCACGGCUCUUGAGCACAAACAACUGAAAUUCCUCUGGCCAACUCAAACAGAAAAGAAGCUCAGGGGCGGAAAUCGGGCAGUCUCUGUCGCUGAGGGAAGCCUGAAGCACCAGGCUCAAACCAGGCGGGGACAGAGGCCUCCGGGCAGCUGAAUCCACUGCCAAGGCCUUGCCAACGAGGGGCCUGCCUGGGCAGCUCCCACAGCUGCCCCAGUGGCAGCUGCUAGGAUCACUGGUGGUGCCUCCCACCCCUGGACACAGCGCUAGUGCCACCAUGACUGCUGGACCCUGGGCAUUGCCUUCAACCUCUGUCCUACCACUGCUGUGUUGUCCCCCACCAGGCACCAGAGACUGUCACUGCCAAUGGGAAGAGCAAAGGAAUACACAGACUUCUUGGUUCCCAUGCAGGGCUGGGGCUGUGUCUUAGAGGGAUAUGCUGACCAGGCACAGGGGACAGGUCCAAAUGCAGGGCAUCAGAGAUUCCUGAGUGCUCACAACCCCCUUUCCAAUGGCGACUCGUGGACUGGACCCCAACAUCAAUCUCUGCCACGUGCCAUGGUCUGCAGGUAUCUCCAUGGCAGACCUGCUCCCCCUCUCCAAGCUGGCUUCCUCUGACCUCGACAUCAUGCAGCUGGCCAGCUCCCCACGUGGAUGUGGGUUGGCUUGUCUAUUUCUGGGACAGCCCACUUCAGUGGCUAUAGAGGGCUAUGAAGAGAACCGGACCCCGUGGCCAGAGGGUGCAGUGUGAAUGUCAACGCCUGCUCCCUUGGUGGACAAACUCUGGCAAAUAACUACACUUCUCUGUGUUUGGUUUUGUUAUUUCUGAAAUGGGAAUCAUAAUAAUCCCUACCUCACUUGGCUACCAUGAGUUAAUUUCCAUAAAGUUC
rnacentral:lncRNA from 1 species